AGACCGAUGAUCCUGUAGUCAUUUGGCCGGCUAUUGAAAGAAAAAAGCUUGCAUUUGCUCCCCCUAUUGUAUAACCGGUCCCAUCUCUCUCCAAACCUAACGUGGUAGUUUCCCAUCAUAGGGCUUUCUAUCUAUAGAUUAAGCCAUUACCAAGGAGCGGAGUCGUUCAGAACUCAGUUGACUGCUUCUAUAGAUAAGGCGGAGCGUCCUUGGCUCAGCAUUAUAGCACAUAGGGCUUCUACUACAGCGCUUCGCUAACUCGAAGCGCCUCGCUAUGAGAAUCUAGCUUCGCUAACGCUCGGCUAAGUCUUGAACCUUCGCGCUGACCGUUCGUUUUCUCAGUAGCAAAAGCGCUUCUCUUUGCCCGAAAGAAAGAGAUUUUUUUUAUUGCUCCACAUCUGCACUCGUCAAGCCAACCUUGCUUUUUGGGAGGUGAAACAGCGGUUGAAGCGGUCAUUUCGAAAUGACAGCAUCGAAGAGAAAUAUACAUGGUCACGGUUAUCCUGGACUGUGUUCCGGGAAAAAGUGGCCUACUUGAAAGAAAGGGCGGGCACUCUCGUGUUUCAACUCCACUAUACUAUUAAUAGUUAUGGUGUGUACUUACAGCCUCUACGAUAAGCAAGUGAAUGGGGCCGGUGCGUGGCGAACGGAACAGUUCAUCAAGCCAUUUCUCGCCGUGACCCCCAAAAUAGGAAGAGAGGUACUUUACAAAUAGGGGCUAAUUGCUUCGCACCUGACUGCCCUCUCGAUACCUUCUCAGAGCUUUGUAACUAGUGGCCGGGUCGCUGUUUUCCCAGUGCGCGGAGCCCCAGGUGUUAGUGGUUUCUCAUUGGGUCAAUAAUACUAAUCCCUCUUUUUGUGCUCCUAGGGCGGGAAGAAGAAAAGAAAACGCGAAGCGUUCUCUUGCUUUCCCAACCUCUGGCUUCUAAAGGCUGCCCUCUCUUGGCUGGAUCUUUAAAUCGACAGUUCGCUUUCUUUGU